rnacentral:rRNA from 1 species
AGUGAACGCUGGCGGUGGGCCUAAUACAUGCAAGUCGAACGGACACACGGUAAGAGCUUGCUCCUAACGGUGGCGGGGGGCGGGCGGGUGAGGAAUACAUAGGAAACUACUUUUUCGGGGGGGAUAACGUAGGAACACUUCCGAUAAUACCGAAUACGACCUACGGGUGAAAGCAAUGGAGCUUCGGGCCUUGGCCGAUUGAAUGAGCCGAUGUCGGAUUAGCUAGUUGGCGGGGUAACGGCCCACCAAGGCGACGAUCCGUAGCUGGUCUGAGAGGAUGAUCAGCCACACUGGAACUGAGACACGGUCCAGACUCCUACGGGAGGCAGCAGUGGGGAAUCUUCGACAAUGGGCGCAAGCCUGAUCCAGCCAUACCGCGUGGGUGAUGAAGGCCUUCGGGUCGUAAAGCUCUUUUGUUGGGGAAGAACAGCAGCAUGUGUAUACCUCGCCGUUUUGACGGUACCUAAACAAUAAGCACCGGCUAACUUCGUG